rnacentral:rRNA from 1 species
AACGAACGCUGGCGGCAUGCCUAACACAUGCAAGUCGAACGCCCCGCAAGGGGAGUGGCAGACGGGUGAGUAACGCGUGGGAACGUGCCCUUCGCUUCGGAAUAGCCCCGGGAAACUGGGAGUAAUACCGGAUACGCCGUAUUGGGAAAGAUUUAUCGGCGAAGGAUCGGCCCGCGUUAGAUUAGCUAGUUGGCGGUGUAAUGGACCACCAAGGCUACGAUCUAUAGCUGGUCUGAGAGGAUGAUCAGCCACACUGGGACUGAGACACGGCCCAGACUCCUACGGGAGGCAGCAGUGGGGAAUCUUGGACAAUGGGCGCAAGCCUGAUCCAGCCAUGCCGCGUGAGUGAAGAAGGCCUUAGGGUUGUAAAACUCUUUCGCCGGAGAAGAUAAUGACGGUAUCCGGAGAAGAAGCCCCGGCUAACUUCGUGCCAGCAGCCGCGGUAAU